AGCCUUGCGCAGUGGCAGUAUCGUAGCCGAUGAGGGUAUUCCGAGGCGCGAUUAUUGCUAAUUGAAAACUUUUCCCAAUACCUCGCCUUGACGACUUGAAAUACAGUCGGCAAUGGCAAUUUUUGUGAGCCUCUUCGGAGG
ensembl:snRNA U4 U4 spliceosomal RNA